rnacentral:tRNA from 1 species
UCCCUAAUGGCUCAGAGGGUAAAGUGUCUGUCUGCAAUGCAGGAGACUCGGGUUCAAUCCCUGGGUUGGGAA